rnacentral:rRNA from 1 species
AUUGAACGCUGGCGGCAGGCCUAACACAUGCAAGUCGAGCGGCAGCGGGAAAGUAGCUUGCUACUUUUGACGGCGAGCGGCGGACGGGUGAGUAAUGACUGGGAAAUUGCCCAGCCGCGGGGGAUAACAGUUGGAAACGACUGCUAAUACCGCAUACGCCCUACGGGGGAAAGCAGGGGACCUUCGGGCCUUGCGCGAUUGGAUAUGCCCGGGUGGGAUUAGCUAGUUGGUGAGGUAAUGGCUCACCAAGGCGACGAUCCCUAGCUGGUCUGAGAGGAUGAUCAGCCACACUGGAACUGAGACACGGUCCAGACUCCUACGGGAGGCAGCAGUGGGGAAUAUUGCACAAUGGGGGAAACCCUGAUGCAGCCAUGCCGCGUGUGUGAAGAAGGCCUUCGGGUUGUAAAGCACUUUCAGCGAGGAGGAAAGGUUGAUGCCUAAUACGUAUCAACUGUGACGUUACUCGCAGAAGAAGCACCGGCUAACUCUGUGCCAGCCGCCGCCGUAAUAC